rnacentral:rRNA from 1 species
AUGGAAGACCUUGCCGCUUCGAUCAUGUCGCUCUCGCACAGCGCCCCGCUCUACCUGUUCUUCGACGUCCCCUCCUGGGAGGAGUGCUGCCUCCACGAAGACAUCAGCGGCGGCUUGGAGCUUGCCGCGGCUGGCGCCAAGAGCGUCGGCGAUGGCAAUGACAGCGCCGAGCCGCGCGCGUGCGCCAGCCAGCUCUUCCGCGGUGGCGCGCAGCUCCCUCUGAAGCUGCCGCCGCGGCUGCAGCAUCCGGCUGACUGGUCCGCCGCGUCCUCCGCCGCCACUUCGCCGACCCCGCAGGCGCAACUAUGCAUGGUGCCGUCGUGGCGCCCGUUCACGAGCAGCACGAGGCACAGGGACUUCGACCCGUUCGCCGCCGCGCUGGACAAGGUACGCCGGGACGGCGCCGCGCCCCUGCCCAGCAGGCCCAUGCGCCGCGCGAGGUCGCUCUCGCACUCGCCGCUUCGGGGCGCCCAGGCCACCGCGACGAGCCUAAACAUCUCGCGCCUCGCGAAGAAGGCGAGCAGGAUGCCAUCGCAGAGGAGCACGAGGAGGACGGGCGUCAAGCACCUGCUGUGCUGGGCUGCGACGGCAAGCUCGGCCGCGGUUCCGGCACCUGGGAAGGACGGCGCCGCGUCUUACCGGCGGCCGAGUCUCUUGGUCUGCUUUGGCUUUUAA